rnacentral:rRNA from 1 species
GACGAACGCUGGCGGCGUGCCUAAUACAUGCAAGUCGAACGCACAGUUUAUACUGUAGCUUGCUACACCAUAGACUGUGAGUUGCGAACGGGUGAGUAACGCGUAGGUAACCUGCCUGGCAGCGGGGGAUAACUACUGGUAACGAUAGCUAAUACCGCAUAAUAUUGAUUAUUGCAUGAUAAUUGAUUGAAAGAUGCUAUUGCAUCACUAUCAGAUGGACCUGCGUUGUAUUAGCUAGUAGGUGAGGUAACGGCUCACCUAGGCGACGAUACAUAGCCGACCUGGAAGGGUGGUCGGCCACACUGGGACUGGGACACGGCCCAGGAUCCUACGGGAGGCAGCAGGAGGGGAUCUUCGGCAAUGGACGGAAGUCUGACCGAACAACGCCGGGUGGGUGAAGAAGGUUUUCGGGUCGUAAAACUCUGUUGUGAGGGAAGAACGGGUGUGAGGGUGGAAAGUUCACACUGUGACGGUAUCUUACCAGAAAGGGACGGCUAACUACGUG